CCUAAAUUCCCAAAUUGAAUUAGAAACCCUAAUUCCCAAAUCCCAGAAACCCUAACCUUAAUGUUUCCCUUUCCUCAGCUUCUGAACGCAGCCUCCACCCCCGUUUCUUCCAAAACGCAAUACACACACAAAACAAAGAAAGAAACGGAAACAAAGAGGAAAGAGAGAGGGAAGAGCUGCUGCCCUAUUGCCGCCGCAAGGAGCCCGUGCCACCAUCGUCGUCAUCCUCGUGAACUGCAGCGUCGCCGUUCAACCUCGUCCCGCCGUCACCACCGUUGCCCUGGAGCUCACCUGCCGUCGUCGUUGAGGGGCCAGCAGAGAGAGAGAACGAACGCGGGUCAGGGUCGCCACCAAGGAGAGGAGCUGUGCUCCACGCCGCCGUCGCCGCCAGUCCACAACCACCACCGCAAGGGUUUCGUCGCCGUCAUUCCAGUGUCGCCGUUCGUGCCCUUCGUAGCCGUCGCCGUCGCCGAGCCGUUGCAUCGCCGGACAUCAUCGCUGGAGGACCGAAUGGAGUAGCUAGCCGGUUCUGCUUCUGCCUCUGGUUUCUGAAAUCCGAGAAGACGCAACCGCCGCUGCUGGAACUGUUAUUGUUGGCCUGGCCCUGUUUUGGCUCUACUCUGAAUUGUUACUGCUGCUGUUUGGCUAAUGCUGAAGCUUUCCACCAUUACUGGAGCUGCUCAAAACCACCAUGGUUGCUACCCUGGAAAUAAAAUGAGUGCUGGAAAUUGUUACUGAAGCUGCCCAAGAACACUGUGUCUGCUGCCAAGGGGACAAAACGGAUGUUAGAACUGCCAACGGAGCUGCUGGGUUUAGUGAUUUCUGUGAGUUUCGACUUUGAGUGACACAAGUUCGAAGACUCCGUUUGAAGCUGCAGGCGAUUAUAGAUCUUAUUUAUGAGUUAAGUUUAUGACUUGAGUUAUUUUCAUAGAAGUUCCCUCGCUCUUAUUGCUUAACAUUUUUAUUUUAUACAGAGGGAUAUGAUUUGUAUGUGAGUUUUAUUUGAAAUCUUUUGUAUGACAGAUAUUAUUAUUAAUGAUUAUGUGAUUAUUAUUACUUGGUGAUGCUUGCUA